rnacentral:rRNA from 1 species
AGCAGCCGCGGUAAUUCCAGCUCCAAUAGCGUAUAUUAAAGUUGUUGCAGUUAAAAAGCUCGUAGUUGAAUUUCGGAGUUUGUCGGUUGGUCGGGCUUCACUGUCCGCACUGACCUGAUGGACUCCUACCUUCUGAAUAACCAGCAUGCUAUUAAGUUAGUGCGUUGGGGAAGCAGAGCUAUUACCUUGAAAAAUUGAGUGCUUAAAGCAGGCUUACGCUUGAAUAGAUUAGCAUGGAAUAAUAAAAUAGGACGGCAUGGUUCUAUUUUGUUGGUUUCUAGGAUCACCGUGAUGAUUAAUAGGGAUAGUUGGGGCAUUAGUAUUCAAUUGUCAGAGGUGAAA